GGGGGUGUAGCUCAGUGGUAGAGUGCUUGCCUAGCUUGCAUGAGGCUCUGGGUUCAAUUCCUACUACCCCA
rfam:Ictidomys tridecemlineatus contig083911, whole genome shotgun sequence.